UGGUUAGUUCUAAAUAUAGCACUGCAUCUGCCCUUAAAUAGGAGUGAAGGGGCAGAGCAGCCUUUAGAGAGGGGAAUUAUUUGUUUUCCUUGGGCAGUGCUUGCUAAGCUGGGAAAGGCUGGUUUUUCUCUCUGCUUUGCAGUUUUUCUACAUCCCCAGUGUCUUGUGCUUUGCCCAAAGCUCUCAUUACUGAACCUGUGACUUGUCGUUCUCAUAUCUCUUGAAAAAGAGCUGAAAAGGUAACUCUAAGUCAUGCAGCUAUGAGGUGAUAAAUUGUAAAAAUCUCUUUAGAUCUCACAACAUU
rnacentral:lncRNA from 12 species